UUUCUAUUAGUUUAAAAAAAAACACUGUUUUGAAAAAACAAAAAUAAAUAAUUUAUAGAAAA
rnacentral:tRNA from 1 species